rnacentral:lncRNA from 1 species
AUUAGAUGUGGUAGACAAGCUAUUGGUCAACUGAGAGGAAAGUAUCCUUAUCAUUAAUGAUACCACUCCAUGAAGAUGCAAUACUUUCCUAAACUGCAUGGCAGGUUGAUAUACAUCUUAAUAUGUUCUAAGUUGCUUACUGAAGCAGAGAUGUUGUCCUGCAGAACAUCUUUUGAAGAACAUACCUAUAUGAGUCAGAUUGUUAAACGUCGCAAUCUAUGAGAGUAGGGUGCUCUCUAGUAUACUCACGAAAGGUCUCGGAGUAUGACGCAUAAGCUCCAUCCGCGGGGAAGUCCCACGACAGCCUAGUAUCGGUCAAGGAUCUGUGUGAAGC